rnacentral:rRNA from 1 species
AUUGAACGCUGGCGGCAGGCCUAACACAUGCAAGUCGAGCGGAUGAAGGGAGCUUGCUCCUGGAUUCAGCGGCGGACGGGUGAGUAAUGCCUAGGAAUCUGCCUGGUAGUGGGGGAUAACGUCCGGAAACGGGCGCUAAUACCGCAUACGUCCUGAGGGAGAAAGUGGGGGAUCUUCGGACCUCACGCCAUCAGAUGAGCCUAGGUCGGAUUAGCCAGUUGGUGGGGUAAAGGCCUACCAAGGCGACGAUCCGUAACUGGUCUGAGAGGAUGACCAGUCACACUGGAACUGAGACACGGUCCAGACUCCUACGGGAGGCAGCAGUGGGGAAUAUUGGACAAUGGGCGAAAGCCGGAUCCAGCCAUGCCGCGUGUGUGAAGAAGGUCUUCGGAUUGUAAAGCACUUUAAGUUGGGAGGAAGGGCAGUAAGUUAAUACCUUGCUGUUUUGACGUUACCAACAGAAUAAGCACCGGCUAACUUCGUG